rnacentral:SRP_RNA from 1 species
UGCCAGGGCCCAUGGAACGGGGACAUACGAAUCCCGGGCAGGAAUGCAGCAACGGCAGUUUGCUCUCCGUCCGCCGUGGUCACCCUGGCUUUU